CCUGCGCGCGACCCGCGACCCGCGGCCCCGCGACGGGCACGCGCCCGGCAGCCUCCGCUGAGACUGUGGAGACGCGGCGGGCGGACCCCCGCUGGCCUCCGCGUGCUGUGAGGUCUCCCCGUGAACUAUUAUGUCUCCCGGCAGAGGUCACCCACGCUGAACCGAGGCGGCCAGUCCAGGACCUGAUGGCGAGCUCGGGUCCCGCCGAGCCCUGUGUGGUAACCAAGCAGCGGAGGCCCGCGAGGUUCUAGAAGUCGUCAAAGAACUCUGCUGCAUAAAAGCCUAGGUCCCUGGCUCCGAUAUGCUGACAGCAUUCGGUGUUGGGACAGGAGGUGACUUCCGGGAGACGUUCCACUGAUCUCUAUUUGGGCACACGGAUGUCUGGAGGGACUGAAGCGCACAGAGGACCUGUCACUCUUAAUGAAGUACCUGUCCAGGAUUUAAAGAGAAUCCUCUCACUUUAUGGCCUGUUAUGCUGUCAUUUGGUGACUUGCCGUGAACUUACAGAGAUCUACCUCCCAAGUACCAAGAUUAAAAGCAUGUACCACCGCU